UAUUGAACUCACAAAUCACAUCACACAUCUAUAUUUUUUAGAGAUUAGUUCGAGAGAGAAUUUGAUUUGCAUGAAAUUUAUUUGAUAUUGAGUAAAUAAUUUUCGUCAUAAAUUCAACGUAUAAUAUAUUAAAUUACUUCUAAAAUAAAUAAAACAUCACUCAACGACAAAUAAAAAAAAGAAAUAUUCUUAUUACAAUUGCUUAAUUUUCUCAUUAUAAAAUUAGGAAUAUAGAAUCCAUCAUUAGCAAAAAACACAAUUUGGAAAAUUUAAAUUAUAUGAUACAUAUGACUCAUAACAUAAGUAUUAUGAUGAUCAAUGCAAUCCUUUUAGUUUUCUCAACCGAAAUUUUUGAUUGAAAUGCUAAAAUUUUAACACAGGCCGGGAAUAAAAGUUCAUAAAAACAUGAUACAAAUUAUAUGCAAUAUAUAACAUUUUAUUUAGUAAACUUCAGAUGUUAGGUGUGAUCGGUCACCAUCGCCUUUCACCGGCAUAAAGCAUUGUCCUACAAAUGCUUUAACACAUACGUUCACAAUAAGUCCCGAUAAGGUGAGGAUCCAUCUCUAACGUUGACCGCAAACAUUUAUUCAUACAGUCGGAAUAGUUACUGGCUUUGACAAAGUGACGAUCACCAUCGAAAACAGAAAUCAAGAUGAGAACCAUUAACACUAUGAUCAUGUUGUUGAUAAUCUUCAUCGUCAAAGCGUCUUUUUUUUUCU
rnacentral:lncRNA from 1 species